rnacentral:misc_RNA from 1 species
UCAAAUUUCUUGAAGAACCACCACAGCGAGUUGUGUUCAUAUUUAUAACAACUGAUCCUGAUAAUGUACCUCGUACUGUACAAUCAAGGUGUCAGAAGUACCUANAAGUACCUAUUUAACAAAAUUAAAGAUGGUGAUAUUGUGGCAAGGUUGAGGAAAAUUUCUACCAAAGAAAAUCUAGAUGCUGAAUUGGAUGCAUUGGAUUUGAUUGCUUUAAAUGCAGAGGGUUCACUUCGAGAUGCAGAAACUAUGUUAGAUCAGUUGAGUUUGUUGGGGAAGAGGAUAAC